CAUAAAGAGCAUGGGACUUAUUCUACCCCAGUCAGUUCACAUUGCAGCAGAAGAACGAACGUGUCUGUGGCUCCUUUCUUCAAUUAUUCCCCUUUUCAGCAGUAGUCCCCAAACUACAUUUGGUCCGGCCCCCUGAACAAUACCAGAGAGCAUUCAGAUUCUUCGAAGCCAUGCCUUUAUCGUUUACACAGUCCCAGGAGGAAACUGGAGGAAGGAAUCCAGAGGGACCGUCAGAGAUGCAGGAGGGGACGAGGAAUUGGAACCAGGAAGAGGUGAUCAACCAGGAACCGACUGACACAAGGUGCUAAUUUUGAAGAGAGAAGACUCAAACCUGGUAAACACCUGGGAGGGAGACCAGCUAGGUGUCCGUACAGACGACAGAGGAGGCUGUGACGCAGGCUGAGGAAAAUGCUCUCUGAGACCAGUUCACCAGGACACGCCACCAUCUGCCAAAGUCCUGGACAACACAGCCCCUAAAGGAUCACAGUGGCUUGCAAAGCCCUCCGUUGCAUGAAGCAUCUGCUUGGCGACUGAUUCUACUUCACCCGAAGGAAAUGAAAGGAAAACAUCAGGAGCACCUAGCAACGAGGCGGAGAGCGACUUUACCUAUCCAUUUGGAGCCGAAACAACAGCUGCUGUUGCUUUCAAUUAGUUGCCAGUACUAUACAUCCCUAACACAAAAAGGAAAGCGAAUUUGAACAAAGACAAAAAUGAACAAAUAAUGGCAGGUUGCUAAGCGCAUUGGGGCAGGAGUGUAUAAAUUACCAGGUUGGAAACUCGCAUUCAGAGCUGCCUCCCCGUUGCCACCCAACACAGGGUCUGUCAGAGAGCACACCUACGUGCACUGCAGUGUCCCCGCUCUGUUAUCCUGGACACAGACCUAUUAACGUCUCAACGCUCGGGGCUAUUCUUUUUUGAAUUUCCACCUGAACAAACACCGGAGUUUGAGUCAAUAACGGCUCGACGUGUGUGACACUAAAACGGGCCAAGAAGACAAAAGUUUUCACAAACAAUAAGUCUGCCUGUCACUAGCAACAGGACAGUAGGCUGCUUGACAGCUGAAGCAAAAAUAAAACACUCCUGAUCUGCUGUUCUCCCUGGGUUAAAAGUGGCUCAUAUUCUAACUAUCUCGAAUAUGAGCCACUUUAUAUUGGCUCAUAUAUUGGCUCAUCUGAGUGUACAUAUACACUCAGAUGAGCUGCCAGGAGGUUUAGUCCGAAAACAGCCAAAAGUAGAAACAGACUUCCUAAGUCUAGUCUCAUAAAAAGUAAUAUAAAUUUGUCUGAAUGGGAUAAUUUUUUAAACCUUCUGCUACAUUUGCAUUGAGAGGAAAAAUCAAUGGAAAGACACAAGUACAUAAUGUUAAGAAGUAUAGGUGAAGUUUUGUCAGUCAAUACUUUUUUAAUGCCUUAAUUCAAACCCACCUCUUUCGUUUGGGCUUUGGGCCAGUAAACGUGAUCACAAAGAAACGUUCUGGUUCAGCUACUUCUUCAUUUAGUUUUCUUACGUCAGGUCAAGUUAGGUUUCGCUGUAGACCUGGGAACCUAAAUGAUAAAAUGGUAAAUGGCCUGUAGUUGUACAGUGCUUUAUUAAGUCCAGAGAAUCCCAAAGUGCUUUACACUACAUUCAUUCAGUCACCCAUUCAUGCACAUAUUCACAUCCUGAUGGUAAAUCACAUAAAGUAAUGUGCUCUGUUGGGAAGGGAAUGCUUCAGAGGUUUUUAUGUUGUUUUCUUCAGUAGUUCUUGCUGCAGCACCACCACAGGCGAGGAGGUCAACAGGUUUUUUAGUUGGUUUGGAUGGUUUGACACAGAGCAGUGUGAAAGUGAACCGCACCAGCUGAAAAUAUAACCAGUGUUGCAGUUUUGGUUCUCAGUUGAACCAGACUAUUAGGUGUGAAAACACUCUAAGUAAACGACUGAUCAUUCCAAAGUGAAAACAGUUCAGCUGGAAUGUUUUAGAGACUGAAGUUGUUUUUAGAUAGAAAUCUGCUUUGGACCGGUUCCAUCUCUGUCUAGUUAUCAGCCUCAACCUCUGGGACCAACUAACCUGGAUUUAUGCUGAAUGAAAAUGCCAAAAAGAGUUACAUUCUGCAUUGUGAAUAUUACAAACUAAACUAAAAAGUAAUAUUACUACUGUAAAUGCACGGAUGCAUUUUUCCUUCAGAUGGAAGGACCCUGUAAAGGAAAGAGCAGCUCACUUGUGGUCUGUAAACAAACCCCACCCACAAUUUAAAAAUGAACAUGAACUCCUCAUGUAAAGUGGAGAAGUGCUUCAUGAUGACUAAGAUGUUCAGUUGUGUGUGAGAGCGUUAUUAAAAUUUUACCUGCAUCACGGCUUUCCUGACUUACAGACUGCACGGCGCGACUUCUCUGAAAUCAACGGGGAUUAUUAAUAUAAGCCUUAAAAGACGACUUUAAAGAAACAGAAUUUUUUUUUUUCCUAAGAGGAUUUAGUAAAAAUAAAAGAUACAAACAGUUGCCUCAAAAGCUGACAGACAGACACAAAGGGAGGAUGAGCUGACUUUCGCCAUCCACCUGCAACACAUUUUUAGGUCUGUGAUUUAAAAUCUGCAAUGCAAACAGUGUGGGCCGAUCUAGCUAAAAUAUGCAUAGAAACGUGAGAGGGAACACAAUUAUUUUAUGAUCAAUUUGACUAUAGUCACACACUGGAGACCAAAACCCGCUGCAGUGCUGACACAUCUGACCAAUCAACACGUUUUUUGCUGGAACUGAGCAAACAGCGAGGAGGAUCGUUAGCAUAAUUUAUUGUGUUUAUGUUUUACAACACUGCGAUAAAACAAGAUGGACACCAGUGGGUGGUGAAUAAAUAUUAAUUACAUAAAGAUGAUAAAAGGGACACAAAAGGUGAAGAGUACAAAUGUGCUGUAUGUUUUACAUGGCAUCUCUAAUUUUAGGUAACUCUUCUUUUUUUUUUUACAAUGUACUUUGCUGAAAUUUCAGAAGCUAUUUGUUUUUUUCAAUUAAGGAGACAUGAGUCGCUCAUUUGUUGCUCCGUGACUACCAGAACAUGUCUUCUCUUUAGAUUAGGAUGGAUGUCCUCUUUAUCACUUUGACUUUGCUACAGUUGUUACUACACCUGUCAAUCAGUUAUUUCCGUUGGCAUGAUUUAUUGUCUCUUUUUUUUCUGUCUCUUUUUUACCAAAAACUGGAUGAUGAAAGUCUUCAGUUUGGUGCCUUGGUCUCAACUAUCCCAUUUUUGAAUGACAACUAUGUUUACAAAGAUUUCGAAAGUCAUUUUAUUUCUUGUUUUGUUUAUUUAUCUUGUAUAUUUAAAUGUCUUUCAGUACCAGUGUUAAAUGUUUAUUAGAAUUUAAAGUUUACUGAUGUCUUGGAAUGUUCUCUUGCAUUAUUGUUUUGACAUUACUAUUAUAUUACUUAAAAAUGGUCUCUAAACAACAUUAUCGUGUAUGGCAAUAACUUCUGGAACAAUUUAUCGUCCAGCAAAAUUUGUUAUCAUGACAGGCCUAGUUGUUAUAAUGUCAGAACUUCUGAAUCAGGUACACAACAGAAGCCAUGUCUAUAAUUCCCAAUCACAGCAUUAUCUGGCUGCUGGUGGGAGUGGCACCAAUACAUUUAUUUUUCUUCCUGGAGAAAUCUAAAUCCAGCGGAAACAUAAAUAGAUCCGAGGCAGACAGUUUAUGUGAGAAAACCCUCCAUCUUGCCAGAGUUGAGGCUGUUCUGGAGAGAGCAAAUGGAAUAAAUUCUUCCGAGAAGUCUGUGCAAGACUGGUCAGAACUUACUGGAAACAUUACAACCAGCAGACACCACAUAUUGAGAGCAAAUGUGUGCAAUCUCUCUCCUGAAUGAUAUGCAGUACUGCAGUAUACUGGCUCUUAAUUCCUUAUCUGUUUUUAUACCUGAAAGUGGCAUUUCUCUCCGUCAUGCUUUAAUAAAAGCUAUCCAUUCUCUUCUGCUUAACUGAAACUUGGGGUAAUAGGUAACAGAAGGAUAUCUAGGCAUAUAGUACCUUCACAGUAACACUAACCAGCUCAUUAUGGGGGACAGAAACCUGUUACCAGGGCAGAAGGGAUGCAGUCCCACCAGUAUAUCCUACGUCGUACACACAAAACAUCUAAAGGAAAAUGCCCAGGAGGCAUCCUGAUCUGAUGGCUAAACCACCUAAACUAACUCCUGUUGAGGCUUAGAAGCUCCUGCUUCCAUCAGAGGAUUGAGAUUUCAUCCUAUCUUAAACAGAGCCAAGCCCAUGUCCACCACUGGUAUCUGAGAUCUCAUUCUUUUUGGUCAUCUCAUUAACCUUGGUCAGGGUUGGCAAGGUAAACAGGCUGGUAAAUUGAGACCUUUGAUCUCAAUGUGUUUUUACUGUCUGUUUUGGCAGCCGCUAUGGAGCACUACACACCUUUGAGUCCAUGACAAAUUUUCCCCUAGGGAACGACAAAGUAUAUGAUCUUCUAUUCAAUGCCUGCAGUGCUGCAGAUGAACACCAGUCCAUUGGUCCAUCUUCCCCUUCUUUCUGCCAUCACCCAUGAACAACAUUUUCCCGUAAGGCAAAGACUACAUAGAGGGGAGCAAUCAACAUUUUUCCAGCAGUUAACCAUGACUUCAGACAUCAUCUGCAAAAAUCGAAGAUAAGAGCCUGGGUUUCCCUGACCAGAAACCAUGAAUACACCUUGAGAUAAUGUCUACACCCGAAACAAAUCUGGUAUAAGGGGCAGCUUCUGUUCGACCAUGCUGGACCCUUCGGUUCUUCAUCAGUCAUAGCAACAACUUCCUUUACUGCUGGUAAAUUCAGAAAUCACUUUUGUUUCUAUUUAGCCUGUCACAUAACAUCCCCCUCAAAAAAAUGCUUAGAAGUUUGAGGUUGUACCAUUACAAAACAUGAGAUAUUCAAGAGGUGCCAAUACUUGCAAGGCACAGUUUUAGUAUCCAAGUCUGGCCAUGUCAGUAAAGCCCGUUGACCUAAGAGGGAACAAAUCGAAUUCAUUUACAUACUGGACACGAUGAGGGAAAGGGGGUUGGGGGGUGGCACAAU